rnacentral:rRNA from 1 species
UACGUAGGGGGCAAGCGUUGUCCGGAUUUAUUGGGCGUAAAGAGCGUGUAGGCGGCCAGAUAGGUCGGUUGUGAAAACUGGAGGCUCAACCUCCAGACGUCGGCCGAAACCAUCUGGCUAGAGUCCGGAAGAGGAGAGUGGAAUUCCUGGUGUAGCGGUGAAAUGCGCAGAUAUCAGGAAGAACACCCGUGGCGAAGGCGGCUCUCUGGGACGGUACUGACGCUGAGACGCGAAAGCGUGGGGAGCGAACAGG